rnacentral:tRNA from 1 species
GGGCAUUUGGUCUAGUGGUAUGAUUCAAGCUUAGGGUGCGAGAGGUCUGAGUUCAAUUCUCGGAAUGCCCC